rnacentral:rRNA from 1 species
AGCAGCCGCGGUAAUUCCAGCUCCAAUAGCGUAUAUUAAAGUUGUUGCAGUUAAAAAGCUCGUAGUUGAAUUUCGGGGUUCUACCGUUGGUCGGGCAAUAGUCUGUACUGGCGUGUGGAAUUUCUACCUUCUGGGGAACCAUCAUGUUAUUUAUUUAGCGUGGUGGGAAACCAGGACCUUUACCUUGAAAAAAUUAGAGUGUUCAAAGCAGGCUUACGUCUGAAUACAUUAGCAUGGAAUAAUAAAAUAGGACGGUGGUCCUGUUUUGUUGGUUUCUGAAUCACCGUAAUGAUUAAUAGGGAUAGUUGGGGGCAUUAGUAUUCAAUUGUCAGAGGUGAAAUUCUUGGAUUUAUUGAAGACUAACUUCUGCGAAAGCAUUUGCCAAGGAUGUUUUCAUUAAUCAAGAACGAAAGUUAGGGGAUCGAAGACGAUCAGAUACCGUCGUAGUCUUAACCAUAAACUAUGCCGACUAGGGAUCGGACGAUGUUAAUUUUUCUUGACUCGUUCGGCGCCUUACGGG